rnacentral:rRNA from 1 species
UGAGGAAUAUUGGACAAUGGAGGCAACUCUGAUCCAGCCAUGCCGCGUGCAGGAAGACUGCCCUAUGGGUUGUAAACUGCUUUUAUACAGGAAGAAACACCUCUACGUGUAGAGGCUUGACGGUACUGUAAGAAUAAGGAUCGGCUAACUCCGUGC